rnacentral:rRNA from 1 species
GAUUAAGUUAUUAAGGGCGCACGGUGGAUGCCUUGGCACUAGAAGCCGAUGAAGGACGUUACUAACGACGAUAUGCUUUGGGGAGCUGUAAGUAAGCUGUGAUCCAGAGAUUUCCGAAUGGGGGAACCCAAUACGAGUUAUGUCGUAUUAUCGAUACGUAAAUACAUAGCGUAUCGAAGGUAGACGCGGAGAACUGAAACAUCUUAGUACCCGCAGGAAGAGAAAGAAAAAUCGA